UACGUAGGGUGCGAAGCGUUAAUUCGGAAAUUACUGGGCGUAAAGCGUGCGCAGGCGGCUUUGCAAGACAGAUGUGAAAUCCCCGGGCUCAACCUGGGAAUUGCAUUUGUGACUGCACGGCUAGAGUGUGUCAGAGGGGGGUAGAAUUCCACGUGUAGCAGUGAAAUGCGUAGAGAUGUGGAGGAAUACCGAUGGCGAAGGCAGCCCCCUGGGAUAACACUGACGCUCAUGCACGAAAGCGUGGGGAGCAAACAGG
rnacentral:rRNA from 1 species